rnacentral:rRNA from 2 species
AGGUGCGAUCAUACCAGCACUAAUGCAUUAGAUCCCAUCAGAACUCUGCAGUGAAGCGUGCUUGGGUGAGAGUAGUACUAGGAAGGGUGACCUCCUGGGAAGUCCUCGUGUUGCACCUC